ACUUAGGAGGCAGAGGCAG
rnacentral:piRNA from 1 species